rnacentral:lncRNA from 1 species
GCUGGAUGCAAAGCUGUUGUCAUGAAGAACAUUGAUGACGGCGCCUCUCAGAUAAUCCUUACAACUCUGCUCAGGUGGCUGGAAUUGACCACUAUCCCCAAGAGGACAAAACCGCCAUGAGCAAAAAGAAAAUUGUCAAGAGGUCAAAGGUCAAGUCCUUUGUGAGAGUUUAUAAUUACAAUCACCUCAUGCCCAUGAGGUGCCCUGUGGAUAUCCUCUUGGACAAAACUGUUGUCAACGAGGAUGCCUUUGGAGACCCAGCUCUGAAACUGCAAGGCCAGGCUGGAGGCCAAGGUUAAGUGGAAUUGAAGAUCUGCCUAAGACACGAAAGAACAAGUGGUUCCCCGAGAAGUUUCAGUUUUAG